rnacentral:rRNA from 1 species
UACAGAGGUCUCAAGCGUUGUUCGGAUUCAUUGGGCGUAAAGGGUGCGUAGGCGGCGCGGUAAGUCGGGUGUGAAAUCUCGGGGCUUAACUCCGAAACUGCAUUCGAUACUGCCGUGCUUGAGGACUGGAGAGGAGACUGGAAUUUACGGUGUAGCGGUGAAAUGCGUAGAUAUCGUAAGGAAGACCAGUGGCGAAGGCGGGUCUCUGGACAGUCCCUGACGCUGAGGCACGAAGGCCAGGGGAGCAAACGGG